CGUGUAGGCGGUUUGGUAAGUGGGACGUGAAAUCCCUCGGCUCACCCGAGGACCUGCGUCCCAUACUGCCAGGCUAGAGUACGGGAGAGGAUGAAGGAAUUCCUGGUGUAGCGGUGAAAUGCGUAGAUAUCAGGAGGAACACCGGUGGCGAAGGCGUUCAUCUGGCCCGAUACUGACGCUGAGGCGCGAAAGCUAGGGAGCAAACG
rnacentral:rRNA from 1 species